rnacentral:lncRNA from 1 species
UGUGAUUAGAGUUCAAAAGAGUGUAAUUAAGGAGAUGCGUGUUGCAAAAAAAGAAAGUCCUUUACACUACAACAAAAACGGUCUAUAGCGACACUUUUAAAUGUAGGUACAUGUCAAAAAAGUGUUGCUAGCUAAAAUUACCGACACUUUUAAAAAGUGUUGCUAUAUGUGGGGUCGCUAGGUAUAUAGUGACAGUUAAAGAGUGUCGCUAUAACCUAAAAGAGUGCUGCUAAUUUACCAACACUUAUUUAAGCAUUUAGCAACCGUCGAAACUCUAUCUCGUUGGCUGCGGUGGCGGAGGAGGACGACAGGAAAGGCUCUUCGUCUAGAAUUUCAGUGGAUUGAAUAAAGAUACAAGAAAAGAUGGUAAUUGAUUUUUCUUUUUUUUUUCUUUUCUGUUUGUAAUCGGGCCAAAUGGACUGGGUGUGGUAGGUUGAGUAGAGUAAUCUUUUAUUUUUGAUUGGAUUGGGCUUUAUAUUUAGGCAUUAGUAGAUGUUUUUUUAAGUUUAGCAUAAAUGGGACACUUACUCAAAAGUGUCCCAAACAUGUGUCCCUAUAACCUAAUUCUGUUGUAGUGAUUUACCAUAAAAAUUUUGUAAUUUUUAGAUCUGUUAAUAAUUUUUUUGCAUGUUUAUGUGACUAAUCUAUUUGAUCUAGAUAAAUAUUUUGUAAUUUUUAGAUCUGUUAAUUAUUU